rnacentral:rRNA from 1 species
ACGCUGGCGGCAGGCUUAACACAUGCAAGUCGAACGGUAACAGGGAUUAGCUUGCUAAUCUGCUGACGAGUGGCGGACGGGUGAGUAAUGCUUGGGAAUCUGGCUUAUGGAGGGGGAUAACUACGGGAAACUGUAGCUAAUACCGCGUAAAAUCUUCGGAUUAAAGGGUGGGACUUUCGAGCCACCUGCCAUAAGAUGAGCCCAAGUGGGAUUAGGUAGUUGGUUAGGUAAAGGCUGACCAAGCCGACGAUCUCUAGCUGGUCUGAGAGGAUGACCAGCCACACUGGAACUGAGACACGGUCCAGACUCCUACGGGAGGCAGCAGUGGGGAAUAUUGCACAAUGGGGGGAACCCUGAUGCAGCCAUGCCGCGUGAAUGAAGAAGGCCUUCGGGUUGUAAAGUUCUUUCGGUGACGAGGAAGGUUGGUAGGUUAAUAGCCUAUCAAAUUGACGUUAAUCACAGAAGAAGCACCGGCUAACUCCGUGCCAGCAGCCGCGGUAAUACGGGGGGUGCGAGCGUUAAUCGGAAUAACUGGGCGUAAAGGGCACGCAGGCGGUGACUUAAGUGAGAUGUGAAAGCCCCGAGCUUAACUUGGGAAUUGCAUUUCAUACUGGGUCGCUAGAGUACUUUAGGGAGGGGUAGAAUUCCACGUGUAGCGGUGAAAUGCGUAGAGAUGUGGAGGAAUACCGAAGGCGAAGGCAGCCCCUUGGGAAUGUACUGACGCUCAUGUGCGAAAGCGUGGGGAGCAAACAGGAUUAGAUACCCUGGUAGUCCACGCUGUAAACGAUGUCGAUUUGGGGAUUGGGCUUUGAGCUUGGUGCCCGUAGCUAACGUGAUAAAUCGACCGCCUGGGGAGUACGGCCGCAAGGUUAAAACUCAAAUGAAUUGACGGGGGCCCGCACAAGCGG